GCCCGCGUAGCUCAGCUCGGAUAGAGCAGCUCACUCCUAAUGAGCAGGCCGAGGGUUCGAAUCCCUUCGCGGGCG
rnacentral:tRNA from 1 species